AGCUUUCGUCCUCCAAUGAUUUCGAGAAAAAUUCAACGAGCACAAACAACCUGACAUUGAGUACUGGCGCAGGAGAAAAGAUUAACCUGACCAUGGAUUUUCCUGAUGAUGACAGUCAGGUAAGUUGUUCUGCCACUACUCUAUUUAAAAAAUGUAAAAUUUAACAGCUAUAUACUCUACAUGAAGAUCUGAUAUAUUACUAUACUGGUUGUAAUUAAUUUGAAUUAAGGCCAUGUUACACAGGCAAUCUUUACUGCAGGUAUAGAGCCACGCAUGUACAGUAUAUACAUGUAAUGACUGUAUUCGCAGGACCUGCGAAGGACCUGCCGCUCAGUCUGUCCCGUGCAUGCCGACAUGCAAGUUCUGAGCAUGGCCCACGUUUUACUCCAACGACACUAUAGGCCUAUAUAUACACUAGACAUGAAUUUAGCAUUCGGGGAGAAUGUGAAAAUGGAGUUAAAUGAUCUCUUGUAUAGGAAUCGCCAAGAUUGGAUGUACAUUUGGAUACAAAUGAUCUUGCAGAACUGGGUUAUAAGGUAAUUUAUUUUAAUAGCCACGACUUUUUCUAUUUAAGUAUAAGAAAUUGGGAGAUACCAUGCAUAUACUGCAUGUAAGCAGUGUGGAUUAUAACGGGCGACACUCGACUAUAUCUGCCGAACCAAAACAAUAAAUGGCCGAUUAAUUUUAUUCUUUACGGACAUGUUGACCGAACAAAUAAAAUGCCUGUGCAGAUUUUAUUUAAACACACACAACAUUUGGCUUUGUUGUGACGGGCAACAAAAGUGUAUGGUACUAGACAUGCAGAAAAUUCGAAAACAAUAUACAUGCACUGCAUGCAUGGUGCAGUGCAUGUAUAUAUGCAUGUAUAUUGUUUUCGAAUGCCAUGGACCAAGACAUUUUCGGAUAUAUAUUUUUAUUAUGUAGUAGAGAGUGAGAUACUGAAAAAUACGUGAAAUGAAAAAUACGUGAAACACACGUGAAAUUUCACAAUUUUUGCUUGGGACUAUAUAAUAAACAGAACAUUACACGGUGGCUUGAAGAUAUGACUUUUAUCUUCUCGUGUUAAAAACAAUAUUUUACUCACUCGCUGCGCUCGUUCGUAAAAUAUCGUUUUCACCACUCAAAGAGAAAAAUCAUAUCUUCGCGCCGCCGUCGGCGCCGUGUAAUAUCCUCUAUAUAUUUUCCACAAAACAAACCGACUUUACAAGCAAUAAUAAAUUGACUGCAUGUAGAGAAUAUUUUAAAGAUAAUUUAUAUAUUGUACUACAAUUAUAUCGUCAUAGACCUAUAGGGCCUAGUCAUCAAUAUGGAAUAUAGUUAAAACGUCUGUGUGUAAUUUUGAUCAAAUAUUAUGUUAUAUCCCUUUCUUCAUUUUUUCCGCAGGAAUCACCAAGGUUUAACUCUGACUUAUAUGAUCUCAAAAAUCUAAAUUACGAGGUAUAAGUUAAAUACUAUUGCUGUACAUGCAUGCAUGUAGCUACAUGGAUAUAAUGCUGUACAUACAAAAACAAAUUAAACACCAUGCAGGUAGUUAGCAC